GAGUUUGAUCUUGGCUUAGAUUGAACGCUGGCGGCAGGCCUAACACAUGCAAGUCGGGCGGUAGAGAGAAGCUUGCUUCUCUUGAGAGCGGCGGGACGGGUGAGUAAUGCCUAGGAAUCUGCCUGGUAGUGGGGGAUAACGCUCGGAAACGGACGCUAAUACCGCAUACGUCCUACGGGAGAAAGCAGGGGACCUUCGGGCCUUGCGCUAUCAGAUGAGCCUAGGUCGGAUUAGCUAGUUGGUGAGGUAAUGGCUCACCAAGGCGACGAUCCGUAACUGGUCUGAGAGGAUGAUCAGUCACACUGGAACUGAGACACGGUCCAGACUCCUACGGGAGGCAGCAGUGGGGAAUAUUGGACAAUGGGCGAAAGCCUGAUCCAGCCAUGCCGCGUGUGUGAAGAAGGUCUUCGGAUUGUAAAGCACUUUAAGUUGGGAGGAAGGGCAGUAAAUUAAUACUUUGCUGUUUUGACGUUACCGACAGAAUAAGCACCGGCUAACUCUGUG
rnacentral:rRNA from 1 species